CAGCAGCCGCGGGAAUACGGAGGGAGCUAGCGUUGUCCGGAAUUACUGGGCGUAAAGAGCUCGUAGGCGGUUUGUCGCGUCGUCUGUGAAAUUCUGCAGCUUAACUGUAGGCGUGCAGGCGAUACGGGCAGACUUGAGUACUACAGGGGAGACUGGAAUUCCUGGUGUAGCGGUGAAAUGCGCAGAUAUCAGGAGGAACACCGGUGGCGAAGGCGGGUCUCUGGGUAGUAACUGACGCUGAGGAGCGAAAGCGUGGGUAGCGAACAGGAUUAGAAACCCCCGUAGUCCCUGUCUCUUAUAC
rnacentral:rRNA from 1 species